rnacentral:lncRNA from 1 species
GUCCAAACCAGGCAGGAGGGGAGCACACAGGUUGGUUUUCCUGGGUUUGCAUCUCAGCUCCAUCACUUACCAGCUCUGUAACUCAGGCCAAAUCCCCAUUCCACAAGAGCAAACUAGGGCAGUGGAAUGGGGAUUGCAAGGAUGGUUGUGAAGAUAAAUAAUCUUUCACUGAGCAGGGGCAGAACACAUAGUAGCUACUCAAUAAUUCAUAGACCCUCCACCUCCUUUAAACUGGAAAUAAACAACUUGUUGGCAAAUAGAAAUCCCAGAGAGACCCACUUUCACAAAUACUGUGGGACUUAUAAUUAGCAUGUAAAAGGAUUGCUUCCAAGCCCUGAAAGCAUGCUGUCCUUUAAAGGCUCUUAGGCAGGCUCCGGAAGCCUUGUUUACAUUUUGGAAUUAAUUUGCUUAGCAAAUCCACACUGGUAGAGCAAAAUUAAAUUUCAGUUUAGACCCUGUUUGAUUGACCCCAAACUCCGAAUGAUGGUGGCCUUACUGUGAUCUCAGUUUCACUUUUCUGAGAGCCUUCAGAUUAAUUGCAACCGGCCUUCUAACAUUCUAUAACAUCAGUGGUCUUUUCUAGAAAGAUACAAAACAUGAAAUAUCUGAACCAAUGUUAUCAUGACCAUUUCUCCUUCUCCAUCUGAAUCCCUCAAAGGGACAUACUUCCAAUGCUAAGGAAAUUUAGAAAAGCUGUCUGCAGAACAGGUUAGACCAGGAGCUUGUGCUAGGCAAAAGCCCCAGGGCAGGUUAGAGGUCACAGCAGCUGUGGUGCCCAGAGAAGAAGGCAGAAGGAAGUCGGGUGGGGGAUGCACUUCCUGGGUGAGGCCGAAUCAGCUAUUUUGGACUCUGGUUCCUCAUUAGUCAAUAACCAAGAAGACUACAGAAAUGGUCCACUGGGCCCUUCUCCUGAACAAUUCAUUUGCUGACUAAGAUGAAAUGUUGUAUUUGUUGUUCAUUCGAGGCGCUGAUCUCUGUACCAUGGAGAAGCCCCAUUUUUUCCCACUGUACAGAACCAUAGACGAGACUGAUAGAUCACUUGGGGGUUUCUGAAGGUUCAUAUUAGGACAGCAGGGUGCAGAAGCUGAAUGGGGAAACCAUCAAACAGGAAGUCGGGAUCUCCUGACAGCACCUCACUGUUCCAAUCACUUCAAGUCCAAAUGGAGGAGUUAGAAAAGGGUAUAAACUGCCACUGCAGCUGUAACUAAGAGUCAAGACCUGCCUAUUUUUUUAAUGAAUGAGUCACUGUAUACAGUGCCACAUCUUUACCUGGGGAAGCCAAUUUAUUCCAAUAGUGUCU